GGCUUACCGGAGGAAGUUUUGGAGGAAUAUGAUGCGGACGGCUUUGACUUAUGAGGAAUGGGCUCAU
rnacentral:sRNA from 1 species